UACGUAGGCAGCGAGCGUUGUUCGGAAUUACUGGGCGUAAAGAGUGUGUAGGCGGUGCUCCCAGUCUGUUGUGAAAUCUCCCGGCUUAACUGGGAGGGUGCAGCGGAAACUAGAGUGCUAGAGGGUGGGAGAGGUAAGCGGAAUUCCUGGUGUAGCGGUGAAAUGCGCAGAUAUCGGGAAGAACACCCGUGGCGAAGGCGGCUCUCUGGGACGGUACUGACGCUGAGACGCGAAAGCGUGGGGAGCGAACAGG
rnacentral:rRNA from 1 species